UUGUUAUUAAGUUUUGUCGGUGGGGGAUGGGCUCGCGGCCUAUCAGCUUGUUGGUGGGGUGAUGGCCUACCAAGGCGUCGACGGGUAGCCGGCCUGAGAGGGUGACCGGCCACACUGGGACUGAGACACGGCCCAGACUCCUACGGGAGGCAGCAGUGGGGGAUAUUGCACAAUGGGCGCAAGCCUGAUGCAGCGACGCCGCGUGAGGGAUGACGGCUUUCGGGUUGUAAACCUCUUUCGUUACCGAACAAGGCUCUGCUUUUUGGUGGGGUUGAGGGUAGGUGGAUAAGAAGCGCCGGCUAACUACGUGCCAGCAGCCGCGGUAAUACGUAGGGCGCGAGCGUUGUCCGGAAUUAUUGGGCGUAAAGAGCUCGUAGGCGGCUUGUCGCGUCUGCUGUGAAAACGCGGGGCUUAACUCCGCGCGUGCAGUGGGUACGGGCAGGCUAGAGUGUGGUAGGGGUGACUGGAAUUCCUGGUGUAGCGGUGGAAUGCGCAGAUAUCAGGAGGAACACCGAUGGCGAAGGCAGGUCACUGGGCCAUUACUGACGCUGAGGAGCGAAAGCAUGGGGAGCGAACAGGAUUAGAUACCCUGGUAGUCCAUGCCGUAAACGUUGGGCACUAGGUGUGGGGCCUGUUUCCACGGGUUCUGCGCCGUAGCUAACGCAUUAAGUGCCCCGCCUGGGGAGUACGGCCGCAAGGCUAAAACUCAAAGGAAUUGACGGGGGCCCGCACAAGCGGCGGAGCAUGCGGAUUAAUUCGAUGCAACGCGAAGAACCUUACCAAGGCUUGACAUGCACCGGAAUCGCGCAGAGAUGUGUGAGCCCUUGUGGCUGGUGUGCAGGUGGUGCAUGGUUGUCGUCAGCUCGUGUCGUGAGAUGUUGGGUUAAGUCCCGCAACGAGCGCAACCCUUGUCUCGUGUUGCCAGCACUUUGGGUGGGGACUCACGAGAGACUGCCGGGGUUAACUCGGAGGAAGGUGGGGAUGACGUCAAAUCAUCAUGCCCCUUAUGUCUUGGGCUUCACGCAUGCUACAAUGGCCGGUACAGAGUGUUGCGAUACUGUGAGGUGGAGCGAAUCACUUAAAGCCGGUCUCAGUACGGAUUGGGGUCUACAACUCGGCCCCAUGAAGUCGGAGUCGCUAGUAAUCGCAGAUCAGCAACGCUGCGGUGAAUACGUUCUCGGGCCUUGUACACACCGCCCGUCACGUCACGAAAGUCGGCAACACCCGAAGCGCAUGGCCCAACCGGUAU
rnacentral:rRNA from 1 species